ACGGGGUGCAGCAGGCGCGAAAACUGGCCAAUGCGCGAAAGCGUGAGCCGGCUAAUCCGAGUGAUCUCCCAUCGGAGAUCUUUUGUUAUGUGUUCACAGCAUGACGAAUAAUGAGAGGGCAAGACUGGUGCCAGCCGCCGCGGUAAAACCAGCUCUUAGAGUGGUGGGCAUGAUUAUUUGGCUUAAAGGGUGCGUAGCAGGACAGCGUAAGUCCCCCGUGAAAUGCCAGGUCUUAAGCUUGGCGCGGGCGGGGGAUACUGUGCGUCUUGGGACCGGGAUAGGUAUAAGGUAUGCAUUGGGUAGGGGUGAAAUCCGAUAAUCCAAUGCAGACCGCCGGUGGCGAAGGCGUUAUACUGGAACGGGUCCGACUGUGAGGCACGAAAGCUAGGGUCGCGAGCCGGAUUAGAUACCCGGGUAGUCCUAUGCUGUAAACGAUGCUCACUAAGUGUUAGGCAAUGCAAGACGUUGUCUAGUGCCGAAGGGAAACCGUUAAGUGAGCCGCCUGGGAAGUACGUUCGCAAGAAUGAAACUUAAAGGAAUUGGCGGGGGCCUACUACAAGAAGUGGAGCCUGCGGUUUAAUUGGACUCAACUCCGGGAAGCUCACCUGGGCCGUAACGUGAAUGAUUGUCCUGCUGAAGACACUACUUGAUGCGUUACUGGAG
rnacentral:rRNA from 1 species